GCCCAAGAGAUCGGGAUAACACCUGGAAACAGAUGCUAAUACCGGAUAACAACAGAUGAUGCCUAUCAACUGUUUAAAAGAUGGUUCUGCUAUCACUCUUGGAUGGACUGCGGUGCAUUAGCUAGUUGGUAGGGUAACGGCCUACCAAGGCGAUGAUGCAUAGCCGAGUUGAGAGACUGAUCGGCCACAUUGGGACUGAGACACGGCCCAAACUCCUACGGGAGGCAGCAGCU
rnacentral:rRNA from 1 species